rnacentral:misc_RNA from 1 species
CAGUGUUCCCUGCCCUUCGGGGUAGGAUCGCCACCCUUGAAUACCUAUAAGUGUUGCUUUGGCGGGCCCUGUGGCCUAGCCACGCCCCGGCUCCGGCGGGGGAGUGCCCGCCAGAGGCUUCUCUAAACCUGAUUAUUAGUGUCGUCUGAGUACUAUAUAAUAGUUA